CCAGACUUUGUCAUGGUAACCAUCUAACCAGAAGAGCAAGGUACAAGUACAUGGGAAACUUCCAAAUCAGAGCCUCUGCACAGGCUUAAUCCAGGUAUCUUGAAACUUUGGAAAAUCCUAAAUAUAAACAGAACUGUGAGAUCCUAGAGAAGCCAGACUGGAAACUGGAAUUUGCAGUUCGAAACAAAUGGAAGUUGGACAGAGGGAGUUCAGAACACAGAUCAAGACAUGGACCUCCUUCUCUGGGAUUCUCCCUCCCUAGGAUUCUCCUAUUCCUUCGAUUCUAUCAAGUAUUCAGUGACACAGUGCUGUACCACAGGUUGAUGUAAGCACAGGACUGCAUUUGAAGCUUCCCUUGCUGUUGGGUGUGACCAUAUGACUGGAUAGAAAAAACGUGAGCAGAGCUUAUGUGCACCACUUCUAGGUCCAGCCUAUAAGGAUCUCUCCGCUCAAUCCUCUAUGUUCUUUCCCUGUCAGCAGGAUGUCAACACCUACAGUAACCUCAUAAGCCACAUGCUGAAGAUGGCAGAAUUACAAGAUGGAAGGGCCUGGUUCCUCGAACAACACUUGGAAGAGAGCCACCCACCAUGAGCACCCAUUUUGGAUGUUUUAUGAAUGAGAAAUAAAUUUCCUAUCAUGUUAAUAGUGCAGUAAAUAUGGGGCACCUGGGUGGCUC